GAGGAUUUAGCUCAGUGGUAGAGCGUUUGCCUAGCAAGCAUAAGGCCCUGGGUUCAGUCCCCAGCUCC
rnacentral:tRNA from 1 species